rfam:Human gut metagenome DNA, contig sequence: F2-V_002618.
CCUCUUAUUCCGUUAAGAGUAGCCUACCGAAGCGUGCGUAGUUGGCAACGACUGGGUGCGAAGCCUUCGGGACAAUAUGGCGAGGUCUUGAACAUCACAAGACGCAGCUGUUAGGCUGACUGACAAGGACAACGUAAAGUAACCGC